UAUUUUUCGUAUUGGCGGUCAGAAUAAAAACGGUUAUAGGAUAUCAACAGAUUGAAAACAUCUGGGAGUAAAAUUACCACUUGUUAGAAACAAAUACAAAACAAUGGGAGGUAUAGCGAAUUCGACUGAAAAACAUGAAAUUGUUUGCAAAUCAAUAGGUGGUUCGAACUCUUUCUUUACGAUCGAGAUUAUGUUGUACGCUUUAACGUGGCGAAAAACAAUAUCGACGAGUAUUUUGCCCUAGUAGAAAUGGCGUAAACCGAACCAAAGAACAAAUAAAGGUUCGAAAAUUUCAGCCGAAGCAUGCCUCGAGGACGUAAAGACUUGAACAGAUUGUGGGAUCAGCUAGCAAAGGUGGGGGGAGUGGGGGUAUGACGAAAACGUUUUUUUAAGUUUGGGCAGACCAUAAACACAAUGCAAAAAGAAAAUUGGGUAACAAUAAACUGUUCUUACAAAGCAUCGAAGGAUGGCCAAGCUAGCAAGUGACUGGAUAAAGAGAGAAUUGUCGUGCUAACAAACUUAGAGGCGGCGAUCGCUGAUGACGGAAAAUAUGCGUAUAUUUGGCACUCCAACUAAAGUAUUUACAAACGAUCAUUUGUCGCCAUUAAGUGGAACACUUUCGUAUAUACAAUUGUAAUGUGAAAUUUUUGGUUUAUUUUCAUAUAAUUUUAGAAGUCCCCAUGUGAUAAAUUGCUUGGCCAAGGAUGCCAUCCCAAUUCAGAAGCGAAAGUAAGUGCACAUAUUUAUAUUUAUUUUUAAUUAACAAUUAUGUAAUUAUUAUGUCAUCCUAUGAUGAAAGGACAAAAAUGUUUGAAAACGCUUUAGAUCCUGACAUGUAGGAAAAACUAGACGUUUUCAGUUAUAUAGCGAUAAACCGUUACAUGAAGAACCUUUGUUUCCUUGAGUAUUAAAAGUAAAAAAUCGUACUUAUUGUAUUUAUAUAUAAUUCAAUUAUUGUACUAUUUAAUUAUUAUAUGCUACGAUUAUAUUAUUCAAAUGUUCUGUCGUCUCUUCCCACUGUAAAUUCUGUUAUUCUCCUAUGCCUUUACGUUGUUGCUCCGUCAACCAUGUCGGAUUUAACAAUUCUUAACUAUUCUUAGCCAUCUUAUAAUUAAGCAAAAUAUGUGUGCAAUUAAGUUACCGAGUGCAAUUAUUGUGAAUGGUCAACAAAAAGAAAAAAUUGCAAAAUCACAAACAUAUAGAGCAAUUGUUAACAAAAAUGAAAGGU